rnacentral:lncRNA from 1 species
AUAAGUACUAGGCUUACAAAGAAUAAGCUCUGGGGUCGAUUUGCCCAACUAAAGGCAGUGCUCCAACAUUGCUACAGUCAAAUGACUGAAACAAGUAAAAGAGUAAACCUUUUGAAUCUGGUCACAUGGUGGUGAUACCCUGGAUAUAACAAUAUGGAGAUAAUAUUUACCAUUUGAUAUCAACAUGAUAAUUAUAUAUUGAAAAAAAAAUAGCAAUAAUAACAAUGUUAUGAUAUCUUGAAUUUAUUGAAUGAUGGCUUUACUAUAGUAACUCCAUCCUCAGUGAUUUACAUCGUCCUUUCAAGCAGGUAUGGGUUGGAUCAUGGCACACCGUCGAUUACGACGAUGAGGGUUCCAGUUGAUCCAAUCAACAUAACAGCCUGCUUGUGAAAUUAACGUGUAAGUGGCUGAGCACUCCACAGACACAAUGGCUAAGCACUCCACAGGAACUGGUGAAUCACAGAACUGUGCUAAGUUCCAAUGUCUGCUUUGCCAUGGUUUUUGUUGCUAAAUUCCUAAAUCCCCUUCCUAAUGCCAACCACUUUGCAGAGUGUACUGGGUUCUUUUUACAUGCAGCUGGCACUAGUGAGGACAUCAAGUAAAUUGCACGAUGAGAUCCUUCAACUAAGAGGGGCGGGGACAGGGACUGUAAUAUUGGGAGAUGUGGUUUUGUGACAGGUGACAGGAGGUAAGAAUACUAUAUCCUUCCUCCGCAAAAAAAUUAAGGACUUAUAUCCCCUUUGGAUAUGAUCUUUUAGACAUGAUAUCUAAAGUAAAAUGUUAUAAGCAUUUUGACCCCCAAUUACAGUUGUUGAUACUCUACAAAGUUCAGGUGGAUCCUACGAUGGAAUAGUUACUUCACAUCCUGAUCGGUGCCGCUGCUGCGUAAACAGACAUCCAAGAAUUCAUCCAGAAAAAGGUCACUUGACUCCUUGCUAUAAAUAUGCUCACAGACACUCUUCACUCUCAGGCUGGCUCACAACUGCAUUGUCUCCUCUUUCUACCUUUUCUGCCACUAUUAUAUUGGCCGCUGCCCCUCAGGGCUAGCUAGGCUCACACCAUUUCCACUUUGGUAAUCUCAACCUAUUUCUCUCUCUUCCUCUCGUCACUCAUGUCCUAUCCCCUAAACCUCAGACUAAUUAUUACUCUCAGUCCUUCCUUUCCAAAACAUUGUCCCUCUGGAACUACGCGACCGGCCCUGCUCAUAUAUUCCCCACAGGUGUUGACUUGUAGUAGUUUAAGUGGAACAUUAAUGGCAUCAUUUCAACAAUGUUGGACAGCCUGUAAGGACCGUAGGCAUUGAUCCUUCACCCAGAGCCAGUAAGCAAAAGAAAAAAAAAAUCUAUUUCUUGAUAAAAGUUUUACCAGGGUAAAUUCAAAUCCAUUUGAUUCUUCAAGUGCAUGUAAGCGUUGGAGGCAUACAACAAUAUAGAUAUAUGUGAAAUUAUGGGAUUAUUUCCCUGAGUUGUAUUAAACAAGAGAUUUACCACCAUAAAAUUUUCCACAGUAUAGAGAGAUAAUUGAUUUAUAUCCCAAUAUAUCAACAGACAUAUUGAAGACACGUUCAGAACAGCUUUAUUCAUACUUUUGAUACAUUUUGCCUAAAAUGAUCAUUGCAAAAUAUUUAACCAUCUUAGACAUUGCCGUUGAUUGCAUAUUUAUACAGGAUCCUGAACAAACUUAAUAAAAGACUUAUUUUAAGAUAGGCACUUGUUCUCAAUUAACUGUUUUGGAAAUACCUAAUAAGUGACAUUAUCAGGAAUAUAUUUAAUUUGUCGUUCAAUAUCUUAAUAAUGUGGAACUUAAAGUUCUCAAAGAUUCUGACUAAAUCCCCCCCACUUUCUACCCCAAAAUUAAGAAAUGGUUCAGAAAAAUUAUCUAGUUUACACCGAUUUUUAAUUAAAUAUUAAAUAUUGUCAUGAACUUUUUUAACCUUGAUCGGUAAGUAUUUUCACAUUAACUAUAAAUGCAGGAAAUUAUUCAGUAGAAAUAAGCUUAAAUUAAGUUACAGUUGCACUACAUGUAUGACGAGUGACCCAAAUCAAUUGAGGCAAUAACACAUGUAGAAGUAUCAACACAUACUCACUUAAUGUGUUUUGUAAUACUGAGGUAGUUAUAGAUGAAGCAGAAGUCAACUGUACAUUACCAAUCUUUGAAGUAUUGCAAAAAACUACAUACAUAUGAGAGAAGGAAAAUUCAAAUAAAGAUACAUUUUAAUCAUACUUUUUCAAUUACACACUUUGUAACAGAAAUUUAAAGAAAUUGUCUGUUUAUAUUUGGCAAUUGAGAAAAACUGCAACUUCAGCAUCAGCUGGAAGAUUAUCAAACACAAAAACCAAGGUGAGUGAAAGAUGGGACCAAUGUGCAGCUGAAAAGAGUUGGUUAAAAAAAAAACCAUCGUAAUUCUGCCAACAUUUAAAACAGAAUACCUACGUGUUUUUCAAAACUUCAGUACUUUAACAAACAUUUGAGGAAGCAAUGGAAUUUCUUCCGCCAACUGACUUAUCAUCCCCCUCCCUUCCUACAGAGCUGGGUUGAUUUUACCCUUUCUAUCUCAACACCAUUAAGCCCACCAUAAAUUUACAUUUGAUAAUUGAUAUAUGUCUGUGUUGUAUAUAUAUAUAUAUAUAUUUAUCUAUUAAGCCUUGUGUUCCUUAUAAUAUUCAUAUCCUGGCAAGCAUCUACUGGAUAUUUUUGUGUUCUUUUGAAUAUUGAUUCAAGUAAGAAAAAUUUGGAGUAACAAUAUAUAGUCAAUAUCA